UACGUAGGGUCCGAGCGUUGUCCGGAAUUACUGGGCGUAAAGAGCUCGUAGGUGGUUUGUCGCGUUGUUCGUGAAAACUCACAGCUCAACUGUGGGCGUGCGGGCGAUACGGGCAGACUUGAGUACUGCAGGGGAGACUGGAAUUCCUGGUGUAGCGGUGGAAUGCGCAGAUAUCAGGAGGAACACCGGUGGCGAAGGCAGCUUGCUGGGACGUUACUGACGCUAAGGCGCGAAAGCGUGGGGAGCGAACAGG
rnacentral:rRNA from 1 species